AUGGAGCCGGCCGGGGCCCCGCCGCCGAGCUGCGCCCCGGCCCGGGAGGCGGAGGAACCCCCGGGGUCCCCGGCGCUCCCCGCCGAACGACCGCGGGACGGCGAGCCCGCCCGGAAGGCGAGUGAAGAGGCGGCGGCGGAACGGAGCCGCGGUCGCGGCCCAGCCGGGCGGGCGGCGCGGGGCGGGGGGCGGCGCGGGCCGGAGGAGCGGGGGGCCCGGGCGGGACGGCGGCCCCGAGUCACCGUGGACAGUUCCAAGGCCAAGACGUCGCUGGAGGCGCUGAAGAUCAGCCUGCGGCAGCUGCGUUGGAGGGAGUUUCCCUUUGGCAGACGCUUGCCGUGUGAUAUCUACUGGCAUGGAGUAUCGUUUCAUGAUAAUUACAUAUUCUCAGGUCAAGUCAACAAGUUUCCAGGCAUGACGGAGAUGGUACGUAAGGUUACGCUGAGCCGGGCAGUGAGAACGAUGCAAGAUUUAUUUCCUGUAGAAUAUAACUUCUAUCCUCGCUCCUGGAUUCUGCCCGAGGAGUUUCCCCUCUUUGUGACUGAGGUUCGUAUGAUGAAAGAGAGCGAUCCAUCCUGGAAGCCCACUUUUAUUGUCAAACCUGAUGGUGGGUGCCAGGGGGAUGGAAUCUACCUCAUUAAAGACCCCAACGACGUCAGGCUGGCCGGGAGCGUGCAGAGCCGCCCGGCAGUGGUCCAGGAGUACAUCUGCAAACCACUGCUUGUUGACAAGCUGAAAUUUGAUAUUCGUCUUUAUGUCUUACUGAAAUCCUUAGAACCGUUAGAGAUUUAUAUAGCCAAAGAUGGACUUUCUAGAUUUUGUACAGAGCCCUAUCAAGAACCCACUCUAAAAAAUUUGCACCAGGUUUUUAUGCACUUAACUAACUACUCACUAAAUAUCCAUAGUGGGAAUUUCAUCCAUUCUGACAACGUAAACACUGGCAGCAAGAGGACUUUCUCAAGCAUUCUGUGCAGACUGUCUUCCAGAGGAGCUGAUGUCAAAAAGGUUUGGUCAGAUAUAAUUUCACUGGUGAUUAAAACAAUUAUUGCACUGACGCCAGAACUGAAAGUUUACUAUCAGUCUGACAUCCCAGCAGGAAAGCCUGGGCCAACUUGCUUCCAGAUUUUAGGGUUUGACAUUCUCCUGAUGAAAAACUUGAAGCCCAUGUUGCUGGAAGUAAAUGCAAACCCCAGCAUGAGAAUAGAGCACGAGCAAGAGCUCUCUCCUGGGGUGUUUGAAAAUGUCCCAAGUCCCGUUGAUGAAGAAGUGAAGGUAGCUGUUAUCAGAGAUACUCUUCGUCUAGUGGACCCCCAGAAAAAAAGGAGAAAAGAUAUUCAAUCUCAGACUUCAGAGCACGUGUCAGAAACAAGAGAGGAUCUACUGGAUGCAGGGCCAGCAGAUGGACCGGAAUACGAGACCAGCAAAAGCACAGAGGCUGGCCUACCCUCCCUUUGUCUCAAGCAAGUGUUCCCAAAGUAUGCUAAGCAGUUUAAUUAUCUGCGCCUCGUGGACAGAGUGGCUGCGUUGUUCAUCCGAUUUCUUGGUGUCAAAGGGACAACAAAAUUGGGGCCAACAGGUUUCCGGACAUUUAUAAGAAACUGCAAGCUCAGUAACAGCAAUUUCUCAAUGGCUUCUGUAGAUAUCUUAUACAUUGAUAUCACACGAAGGUGGAACAGCAUGGGAAUUGAUCACAAAGAAUCAGGAAUGUGUUUGCAAGCCUUUGUUGAAGCUUUCUUCUGUUUGGCUCAGAAAAAAUACAAGUCACUCCCUCUUCAUGAGCAGGUGGCAUCAUUGAUUGACUUCUGUGAGUAUCACCUGGCUGCCCUGGAUGAGAAGCGCCUGCUCUGUGGCCGAGGGGUUGUGGAGCGCCGAGGUGCAGUGGUUACCUGUCCGACAGAUGGACUUGAGGUUACACCAGCUCUGCAUGCACCCCUCCUAAACCGCACGGCCGCAGCUGGUAAAUUUGCCGAUUGUAGAAGUCAUCGCUAUCCUGGUGCUGUUUCACCAGGAGCAGGGAGAGACUGAGAGAACUGAGAAUUAAUCUCAGGUAUGUAUAAGCUGCAGGAUGUGGAAAAGACUCUUGAAUUCCUUUUUUUCUACUUAUGCUCUUCAAAAAGCCAGCUGCAAGGUCCCAUUCUCAAAUACUGAUCCUUCCUCACAAUGGCUACUAUUUUUUUUAACCUCUCCACUGAGCCUACAGUGCAUCUCACAUGACAAAAUGCUUUUAUUUUGAAUGUGAAGACAAGGAACAAAAACAUAGUGGGAAGAUAACCAACAUCAUGGGAAUUGGGUGCACUGCCUGAGAGGCACACUCAUGUUGAAGAAAUUACAUGCCUUGAAUGCACUAAAUGUAUCAUGGAUACCAAUUAAGGAGCUGCAGUCGCAAAUUCGAGUUGUGUGUUUUUGAAAACAAAAACCUGGGAUUAUCAGACUUCAGGCUUUGACACCAUUAUUUCAGUUGCUUGGACUGUGCUUGUUGGUAUUGGUACAGAUUUGCUCGUUGCCUAUAGCUAUGCACUUACCUUUAUAAGUCAAUCUUAAACCACUGAAAUCAUAUUUCUGCUUCUACUUCUUUGUACAUGUCCUUGCCAUAAGAAGUACUGUUAACUUUUUAAAGAAAAAUGAGAGAUGUUUAUCCAUUUGCUUCUGCAGAAACAAUAAGAUCACAGUGAUUUACAGGAAAAAAAACAACCAACCAAGCUUCAUUAAGUAACAUUUGUUGACUUAAGUGUUGUUUUUUCUUCAAGUAGUAAGCACUAGUGCUGCAAAGAGCCUUACUGCAUAAGGGCGUAAGAAGUCAUCCAGGUCCAGAAGUCAUCCAGGCCAGUCCGGUCACUUCAGGCUAAACUAACUGUAUUCUAGGUUUGCUUAUUUUCAUGCUACUUUGGUGUUUGUUAUCUUAUUUGGACAAAGGUAACAUCUAGAGUAGAUGUAUUUUUUUGGACUUUGCACAUAAUCUUCAUUUUUCUUCUAUCUACAACUCUCUACAACUUAGACCUAUAUUAUUCAACAGGAUAUUUUGUCGAGAAUGCUGGACUCCACUGGAGCUCUUUUGGAGGAGUUCUACAGAGUAAUCUUAUUUUUCAAGCAAUGAACUGUGGGUUGCAUAAUCACACUCCUGGGGAGGGGGCUAAGCAGAGACAGACUGGCUGAAAAGGACACAGAUAACUUGGUACAUCGGUGCUGUUCAGUCAAUUUUUUUCUGGUCUCAUAUUUUAUUAUGAUCAUGUAUAAUUUGAUUUUCCUCCUUUAUUAUUUAAUGUUAAUAAUCUACUCAUGUUCUAGCGUUUGUCAUACUGUCAAAAAUGACAAAAUAUUAAGAAGGCACAAUGUUUGGGCAGUUAGGUUUGGCUUGAGAAAAUGACCUGAUCUUGAUGUCUGCAUCUUCCAGUGGCUGACGUACAAGAAUUGUUGCCUGCCAUACAGGAAUCGUGUUGUCAGUGUGGAGAAAGUCCUCACACUUAAUGUCAAGGACUAAAUGCACACACAAUAUUGAGUGACUUUUUACUCUAGGAAAUGUUUAGGAUUUACUUUCCUGUUUUUUUGUUUUAAACAGCAUGCUGUUUUCCAAAGUGGCAAUCAGGAGCAUGGCAAUGCAACGCAGAAGUCAAGCUUGGCUUGCAGGAAUCUAAUACCUAGCAUGUAUCACAAUAACAAAUGUGGGAGUAGCUGCUUCUCUUUUCCUUCUUUUUCUGUAACACAAGUAAGAGCAGUAGUAGACACUUGGUUUUGUUCAGUGUUUGUAAUUUUUUGUACAUAAUGCCACUGCCCUCUGCCUUGUUUAAGUUUCAUAAGGAUUAUUGCAGUAUGAAGAUAAAAUGCCAAACUCUGAGGUCUGGCAGCUGUCAGAACAAACGAAGCUGAAAGGGUCAUUUUUUUUCACAGUCUCAUUGUAAUAUAUUUGAAGACAUUCCCAAGUUGAAAAAUGGUUACUUCUCAUUUUGUGACAUCUGACAUUUGUCUUGCGAUUGGCAGUGUGUUACUAGAAAAUAGCUUACAGUUUCCCUCAUCUUGUGAUUGAUGUCCUGUAAAGACAGAGUUAUAGAAGACUAGGAUUUGAAAUAGUACAGAUGUGAAUACUUUUCUUCGGAGCUUUCAAGUAGUGCAGUCUAUGCCCUAAAAUACUCUCUUUCUGGCUACUACAGAAGUUACCCUGAUAUCAGUGGAUUAAAUUAGCUGUUGCAUAUAAAGAGCACUGGAGAUCUUUAUAUUCUCUGGAUCUCAUACAGAUUUUCAUAACCUGUGCAUACACAGGCUGAUGCAGUAUACUCUAUUUCCUAUUUAAAAUAUGAAGGGCCACUUGUGGAGUAGGUAAAAUAUUUAAUUAUCUGCCUCUAGUAACUCAGUGUUCAUAUAUUUAUCUAAUUGAAAAAUUGAAUGCCAUAUUAUUCCUGGGAGGAGGGGGGAAAGUGCAGUAAAUAGGAGUGUACUUCAGAGACAUCACAACAACGUCACAUUUCUCUUCCCUCCCAUCUAAUGCAAUUUCCUUGCAAUAUUAUUUAGCAUCCAAAGCAAUUUCACGUAGCCCUUAAGUUAGUGGUCUGUGCAAACACAAGAAAGUGACCAGAGAUACUGAAUUUGGAAUACGAAUGCUAAUGCACUGUUAAUCUGUUAAUCCUGAGGUAGCUUUCUGGUAGAAAAACAAUGUACAAAAGGUAGGCAAGCAUUUUUUAAUGGUAUUUUUAGUAUAAUCUUUUCAGAGAAUAACAUGGCAUUCAGUAUUCCAUUUAUGAACAUAUAUAAACAUUACAUAGCAGUGAAAUCUUUCUUGUUAUCAGACAGAUUGGAUCUGGUAUUCCUCACUGAGCAUAAAUCCAAGUAAAACACCUGAACAUCUAAAGCAGAUUUGAGGCAAAUGUGUACAGAACUUCAGUCUAGUCAUCCCCUGCAGGCUUGUCUCUAGCCUGAAUGUGCCUAUAUUGGGCGACUCCUUGUUUGACUUCAAGUUAUGUGAGUUGUUACUCUGCACAGAGCUCUUGUCCUCUGAAUUGGCUGAAAUUUGUCUUCUGCCUCUAACUUGAUUUGACACUUGAAACUGAAUUGCCCUCUCUGCCCAGAUUGCUUUACUUGCCAUGCACUCCUAGCAACUUUCUUUCAAAACCGGUUUUGAAAUGGAGGUAUUGAGCUAAUUAGACACUUAAUGCUUGCUCAGGUGUGAGACCCCAGUCCACCUGCUUCAGAGUUUGUCUUCUCAGCUACAGCUCUCCUCCCCCUGCUCUUCAGGUGCUCUCCCCAUGUUUUUUGUGUUAAGCCCAUCAUCAGGUGAUCAGAGCCCCCCUCCAGGAGAUGGAGGAUGCAGCAUGGAAACCUUUGUGAUGAGGAGGGAUCUCAUACUUCUCUGAUCAGAGCUUUGCCUAGUUCAUUGGAAACAGGGUAGGUGCACAGUCUCAUGCUCUGAGUUGGAAGGGGCUGGGGCCUCUGCAGGUGGUGUGGUGUGGCAAGGACAUUGCUCCCAGCUGGGUGAGCUGUGUGAUGCUGAAGCUGCCAGAGGAGCAGCUGCUGACUGGAUCCGGCCUGAUUUGGAUCUCGGCUGCUGCUCCAGCCUGCUGUGACAGGAGCUCUAGUUUUCUUGCAACAUGUCUUCCAUAGCAAUGUGGAGCUGCGCCCUGACCAGCUCUGUGCUUGCUUGUGCUCACAGCCCUUAAGCUUUAAAGAGGGAAGGAGCUUUAUAACAUCGCCUCCUUACUGUUGCCAACCAAGUGACUUCUCAUUCCCUGCCGGCUUUUUUGUGCAUGUAUGAAACAGGAGCCUCCCCACCUGCACUGCAGUCAGUCACGGUGACAGCUCUUUGUUCCUCGCCAGCCCCGUCCGACCUUACUCUGAUUUUUGUCUGAUGGACAGUGACAAUCUGCUUCUCAGUAUUGCCUAGUUCCCUCUAAUUUGUCUUCUUUUCCAUCAUGGUUUACUGAGUUUCUUCCUAAUUCCACAGAUUUGCUUUUCAGCUUGCCUAAUAAAGUGAUGGGUUUAUUUGCCUGAUUCUAUUAGUUUAUCUUCCUGUGUUGCUCUGCGCUGUUUUCUGGAAGACAAGUGUCUUCAUUCUGAAGGUGAAUCUCCCCUGCUUCAUCUCUUCGGGGCACUGCCAUGCAUCAGUCCAAGCCUUUCCACCUGCUUUGUAAGAUCGAUCUCUGCAGCUUUAUUAGGUUAGUGCCUGCCCUCUGCCUUCAGUCUGUCACGGAAAUGGCAGUUUCCAGAGCGUGGGCUUCCUUUCUUUGAGUUUUAUAGGUGAUAAAUGUUGGACAAAUGGAACUCUUAAAAUCGUGGCACCCUGACAGGGGGCUGGGACCGCCGUGUGGGGCACGGCCACGGCUGCCCCGUGCUGCUCCACAGCCCGUCCGAGCUACGUGCUGUGUGGAAACAGCUCUUCUCUGGGUGACUGCAGGACGGGCCGCGGGUAACUUCUGUUCCAAUGUUCUCUUCCUGAUGCAGAUUGCAGAAAGUAACUCCUGGCGGGCCCAGCUGCUGGGCGGGGCCGCGCGCCUCCCAACGGCUUCCCGCGCAGCGCCGCCUCGCGCCGCUCGCAGCCCUUCCCGCGCGGUGCGGUGCGUGUGAAGGCCGAGGCCCGCGGGCGGCGCGGUGUCCCGCAAGGAGCGGCGUUGGCUGCGGCUCCUCUCCCGCCCGGGUGGGGCUCGGUGCCGGCCCGGGACCGCCGCUCUGCUCUGCCGUCUGUUGCCGCUCUCAGUCGUUUAAAGCACAGCACGAAACACAACAAACGAGCCCCGUCGGGCCGCUCGGCGCGAUGCCGGCACGCGCUCCCUCGCGGCGCUCUCCCGCACGGCUGCGCAGGGCGGGCCGAGGAGCUCAGCUCAGCUGCCCGGGCCGGGCACUCAUCCCGGCCGGGGUUGCAGCAGGAAGCGGCUGUGAGCACGCAGCUGCUCCGCGCCCCGGCAGCGUCGGGACGUCCUGCGGGACGCGGCCCAAGCGGCGCGGGGCUCCGAGAUCCCGGUUCCCGCAGCUCGGAGAGCCGCAGAGCAGCGCGAGCAGCCCGAGAAACAGUAAAAAUCUCUGCACAGAGCAUGACAUCCCCAUAAUGAACUCUUUGUCAAGCAUGAAGUUGGCCACGUUCAGCCUGGCACUCCCCCUCUCCACAGCGAGCACCAGCAGCAAAUCCAAACCCUGCACUUCACUCACAGCUUGGGGACAGCAAGCUCAGCUGAGUAAGGGCACUCAUUAACCGUGCGUUGGCAGCAUCCAGUGAAGCAAUGCGUUUCUCCUGCAAAGAAACAGACAGGGGGAACCGGCAAUGGAAACACAUGGAGAACUGUCUCUGCCAUACCACGGGUUGUUGUGAGCUAGCAACCCAUGGGCCUUUGGGACCAGCACCCCUCAGCAGCCCACUGCUGACAGCAGGUCUACAAAUGGCUUUGCCUGUGUUUUCCCCUGCUGCUGCCAGGUGAGCAGACAUCUCUGCAAGCUGUGUGCUCCAGGCUGGCCUGGUAGCAGCCACAUCCCAGCCAGAAGGCUCUGUGUGCCGGACUGGGUUGGUGCUGGUGCAUGGUGCUCUGCAACCUCCAGCAGCUCCAUGUCAGGCUGCAUGGCUGUGGCUGUAGCCUGGAUUAGAACUGUGCUGGGCUGUGCUGUGCCAGGUUUGCGCAAAGCCUGUGUUUCCUUCAGGGAAGCUAGAGUGAAAGCCCCUGAAAUUCUGGGUUAGGACAGAAUUUGAGGAUUAUUUCUAUGAGGAAUAAAUAUCCUCUCUGCAGGACCAGCUCCAGAACCAUCUGCAGGGGAGCAUGAGAGUUCUGCAUGGCUGCAGGGACUCUGGGCAGCAGUUCUGCAGCCCUGACCCCAUUCAGAGAACAGCUCUGGCUACAAGAGAUCCCUGUUAGAGCUUCUGCCCUGCUCCCAGCCUCAUGGAGGCUUUGGCACAUCAGGCUUUUAAACAAGCAGAAUCUGCGCUGAAUAAAUUUUAUCAUACUAUGUUCUAAUUGGUCCUGAACAAAAUGGAGAUAAAGUACUUUUUCUAAUUUUUCAAUGAUACAGAAAUUGUAUUGUUUGCUUUAACUGCAGCUGUUAUGAAGACGAUAAGAUUCCUGUUCUAAAGCAUAGUUCUCUCCCAAGAUGGUUAUUCCUGUCGGUGUUUAAUUGAUUUUGUUAGUGUAAAUAAAUGCCUUAAAUGACUUGUGGCCUCCCAGGACGGCUAUGAUGGCAUAGCUUAUCCUCACUGAUUACACUGAGGGGUCCAGUGCAGUAUCAUGGGGACAAGAGCAAGAGCUGCCAUACUGCAGCCUGAUCCUGCCAUGCCUGCACAUUUCCUGCUGUCUGCUGUGAGCAGGCAGAAUGAAAAUAACACAGAAGGGCACGGCAUUUUGCCUGUGCAACUCUGAGGAUCACACACAGUGUGAGAUGACGAGAAGCAGAAAAGUGCAGCACACAGGCUUGGGUGAGAGCCCCAUAGGUAACACUGUGGAGCCUGGAGGAAGUGCUGCUGGUUGCAGCCCCCAACUGUGUGCCCCACACUCCCCCUUACCUGCCAGGCUUUGCCCUAGCACAGCAGGGAACGUGUGCUGAUUUACUGGCUUGGAACAAAUUACCGUACAGGAAAACAGUGAUUCUUUUUGCAAAGUUACCACCAUCUCAUCUCCCUUUUAAUUAGUUAUACAGUAAAUUAGUCAUGAGUGGUGACUCACAAGAGAUUAAUAUGGUCAUUAAGAGAAAGCCUACAAUUCACUAGCACCUAGCCAUAACCUGAAGCUGCCUAAACAAAUGAAAAGAUGAUGGGCUGUAUUUUCAGAUCCUCUGUUCCAAGCACAGUGUUUUCCACCACCAUCUGAUGCCCCUCUGCCAUUCUAAUCUGUACCACUAACUGUGCUUCCCUCAGCCCUCGUACAGUCCUGCACAGACUGGCCGUGGCCCUGGGCAUCCCUGCAGGGAGCAGUGCUGACUCCCAUGUGCUGACCAUUUGCACAAGGUCAGUCUCCUGGCACUGCCAUUCCACGCUCUUCCAAGCUACAGGCCCUGCCUCCUCCCCUCUGCUCCCUCUGCCCUGCAGGCAUGCUUUCCUUCCCUGCUCUGUGCAUUUGCUCUCCUCUUGUCUAUCAUUCCCCUGCCCUUCUGUUGGCUGUGCCCUUCUCAAGACUUUGCUCCAGCCACCUCCUCUCUGCUCGGCCUGCUGUCACCCCCACAUCCCCAUGUUACCUGCCAAACACCAAGGCUGGAAAAAGCUGCAGAAUGCAAAUGCCCUGGCAAUAGAACAGUGUCCUGCUGAGGGCUGACCCACCCUGUCACUGACUGCAGCUUUGUGCUGAUGCACCCCAUGCACGUGGUCUGACCGCACUUGAUCUAGUGCUGCUGCACAGCAGGGAGGCUGCAUGUUGGCAGAGUCACUCCAGAGUGCUGCAACCCUCAGUGUCAGGG